GGGGGGACGGAUCGCGGAAGGUUGUCCGGGUGUUGGAAGUCCCGGUCCUUGCAUUGGAGAAGGCGCUUAGGCAAAUCCGGGCGCGGAAUUCAAGGGUGUGAGGCGAGCGGCUUAGGCCGCGAAGCAAUCGGAAGUGGUUCCAAGAAAAGCCUCUAAGCUUCAGUCUAACAAGACCGUACCGCAAACCGACACAGGUGGGCGAGAUGAGUAUUCUAAGGCGCUUGAGAGAACUCGGGAGAAGGAACUCGGCAAAUUGGUACCGUAACUUCGGGAUAAGGUACGCCCUUGUAGCUUGACUGGCCUGCGCCAGGAGGGUGAGAGGGUUGCAAUAAACUGGUGGCUGCGACUGUUUAAUAAAAACACAGCACUCUGCAAACACGAAAGUGGACGUAUAGGGUGUGACGCCUGCCCGGUGCCGGAAGAUUAAAUGAUGGGGUGCAAGCUCUUGAUUGAAGUCCCGGUAAACGGCGGCCGUAACAAUAACGGUCCUAAGGUAGCGAAAUUCCUUGUCGGGUAAGUUCCGACCUGCACGAAUGGCGUAACGAUGGCCACACUGUCUCCUCCCGAGACUCAGCGAAGUUGAAGUGUUUGUGAUGAUGCAAUCUCCCCGCGGCUAGACGGAAAGACCCCAUGAACCUUUACUGUAGCUUUGCAUUGGACUUUGAACCGAUCUGUGUAGGAUAGGUGGGAGGCUAUGAAACCGGAACGCUAGUUUCGGUGGAGCCGUCCUUGAAAUACCACCCUGGUUUGUUGAGGUUCUAACCUUGGUCCGUUAUCCGGACAGGGGACAGUGCAUGGUAGGCAGUUUGACUGGGGCGGUCUCCUCCCAAAGUGUAACGGAGGAGUACGAAGGUACGCUAGGUACGGUCGGAAAUCGUGCUGAUAGUGCAAUGGCAUAAGCGUGCUUAACUGCGAGACCGACAAGUCGAGCAGGUGCGAAAGCAGGUCAUAGUGAUCCGGUGGUUCUGUAUGGAAGGGCCAUCGCUCAACGGAUAAAAGGUACUCUGGGGAUAACAGGCUGAUACCGCCCAAGAGUUCAUAUCGACGGCGGUGUUUGGCACCUCGAUGUCGGCUCAUCUCAUCCUGGGGCUGUAGCCGGUCCCAAGGGUAUGGCUGUUCGCCAUUUAAAGAGGUACGUGAGCUGGGUUUAAAACGACGUGAGACAGUUUGGUCCCUAUCUGCCGUGGGCGUUGGAUAUUUGAAGGGGGCUGCUCCUAGUACGAGAGGACCGGAGUGGACGAACCUCUGGUGUACCGGUUGUCACGCCAGUGGCAUCGCCGGGUAGCUAUGUUCGGAAGAGAUAACCGCUGAAAGCAUCUAAGCGGGAAACUCGCCUUAAGAUGAGAUAUCCCCGGGGACUUGAUCCCCUUGAAGGGUCGUUCUAGACCAGGACGUUGAUAGGUCAGGUGUGGAAGCGA
rnacentral:rRNA from 1 species